GACGAACGCUGGCGGCGUGCUUAACACAUGCAAGUCGAGCGGUAAGGCUCCUUCGGGAGUACACGAGCGGCGAACGGGUGAGUAACACGUGAGCAAUCUGCCCUUCACUUAGGGAUAACUCCGGGAAACCGGUGCUAAUACCGAAUACGACCACUUCAGGCAUCUGAUGGUGGUGGAAAGUUCCGGCGGUGAAGGAUGAGCUCGCGGCCUAUCAGCUUGUUGGUGAGGUAANGGCCCCACCAAGGCAACGACGGGUAGCCGGCCUGAGAGGGUGACCGGCCACACUGGGACUGAGACACGGCCCAGACUCCUACGGGAGGCAGCAGUGGGGAAUA
rnacentral:rRNA from 1 species